CAGCUUUCUCCUAAGAUGAGGCUGAGGUCUCUGGGGAAGGCAGAGUGUAGUCUAGAAGAAGAUGAGGCUGUUGGGUCUUCUCCUUUGCCUGGUGACGGCUCCCCAAGGUGUCCUGUCCCAGGUGCAGCUGAAGGAGUCGGGCCCAGGACAGGUGAAGCCCUCACAGACCCUCUCCCUCACCUGCACUGUCACUGGAGGCUCCAUCACAAGCAGGUAUUAUGGCUGGAGCUGGAUCCGCCAGACCCCAGGGAAGGGGCUGGAGUACAUUGGGAGCAUAGCUUAUAGUGGUAGCACUUACUACAGCCCAUCCUUCAAGAGCCGCGCCUCCAUCUCCAGAGACACGUCCAAGAACCAGUUCUCCCUGCAGCUGAGCUCCGUGACCACCGAGGACACGGCCGUUUAUUACUGUGCAA